CAUCAUUUUGCGGUAGUCGUUUCCCCAAGACGCAGAAGGACGUCCGGAAGGAACGUGCAGGGUCGUUCUCCCAGGAAGGCAAACGGACGACUCUGGACAGGGCUUGCAGGACAACAACGUUCGACUCAGGGAUGCUGUUACGGUCUGUGGUAAACAGGACACCGGGAUGCAGAGAGGGCAGGCAAUGUGCAGAAAAUCUUACUUGGUCUCGAUGACUCUAAACUGUCACCCAAGCUGCAGAGUCUUAAAAAGGACCUGAUGUC